rnacentral:tRNA from 1 species
GGGCCCGUGGUCUAGUGGCUAUGACACCACCCUCACACGGUGGGGGUCCCCGGUUCGAAUCCGGGCGGGCCCA